GACGAACGCUGGCGGCGUGCUUAACACAUGCAAGUCGAACGGAAAGGCCCCUUUGGGGGUACUCGAGUGGCGAACGGGUGAGUAACACGUGAGUAACCUGCCCUUGACUUCGGGAUAACUUCAGGAAACUGGGGCUAAUACCGGAUAGGAAUCCUUGCUGCAUGGUGGGGGUUGGAAAGCUUCGGCGGUUUUGGAUGGACUCGCGGCUUAUCAGCUUGUUGGUGGGGUAGUGGCUUACCAAGGCUUUGACGGGUAGCCGGCCUGAGAGGGCGACCGGCCACAUUGGGACUGAGAUACGGCCCAGACUCCUACGGGAGGCAGCAGGGGGGAAUAUUGCACAAUGGGCGGAAGCCUGAUGCAGCAACGCCGCGUGCGGGAUGACGGCCUUCGGGUUGUAAACCGCUUUCAGUAGGGGCGAAGCUUGUGGUGACGGUACCUGCAGAAGAAGCACCGGCUAACUACGUG
rnacentral:rRNA from 1 species